rnacentral:rRNA from 1 species
GACGAACGCUGGCGGCGUGCUUAACACAUGCAAGUCGAGCGGUAAGGCCCUUUUGGGGGUACGACGAGCGGCGAACGGGUGAGUAACACGUGGGUGACCUGCCCUCAGCUCUGGGAUAAGCCUGGGAAACCGGGUCUAAUACUGGAUAUGACUCCAUGACGCAUGUUGUGGGGUGGAAAGCCUUGUGCGGCUGAGGAUGGGCCCGCGGCCUAUCAGCUUGUUGGUGGGGUGAUGGCCUACCAAGGCGACGACGGGUAGCCGGCCUGAGAGGGCGACCGGCCACACUGGGACUGAGACACGGCCCCAGACUCCUACGGGAGGCAGCAGUGGGGAAUCUUGCGCAAUGGGCGAAAGCCUGACGCAGCGACGCCGCGUGAGGGAUGACGGG